rnacentral:lncRNA from 1 species
GCCUGGGGGGCACACUGGGGAUGCCCUGGUGGCAGGGCAGGGAGCCUGCCUUUGUGGGACCCACAGCGGGUGGCCAAGGUCUUCCACACUUCAGAAAAUUCCAGAUGGAGGGAGUUAAAGAGAAGUUGGGUAAGAGGGAGAUGCUGGGUCCUCAGACACCGGUCCAGGUGGAGGCAGUGACCACAGAGCCCCCGGGGCUUUGGGGGGCAGCAUCGGUGCCCUGCUCCAUGCACUGCCAAUCUGGGUGCAGCCCUGCCCAGCCUGGGAGGAAGCCCAGGCCUGGCCUCCAGGCACCUCCCCACCCUCGCAGCCAGGUGGAGGGGAGAGGGGCCCCAGGUGUGUGGUGUGGGUGGUGGGGUAGCGGGAGCCACAGCCGGUGAGGCUGGCAUACGGGGCCACCAGCUGUGGGCUGAGGCACUGCAGCCCCGGGCCCUCACCUGCCCAGAGCCCCGUCCAUCCUCCCGCCCAGCCCACUGAAGGCUUUGCAGUCCUCCCUGAGGACCUAUCGGGAAGAUGGGAGAAGAGGCUCAGAGAGCACCUGGAACUCUGCCACCCGCCCCCAGCCCUGUCUCCCUCGGCAAUUCCCCAGGCCCAGAAUGUUCCGGAAGUCCUCCUUUACAGUCCUGAUUCACCUGCAGCCCUGGGUGGAGGAAUGGAGUGGAGGUGGAGGUGGGCUGGAGCCAGGGCCCGUCUGACCUCAGAGCUCUGGACCCUAAGAGCUUUGGAACAGACUUUGAUCUCCGGCAGCUGUGUGACCUCCCCCGAGUCCCUGCACUUCUCCGGGCUUCUUGCAAGCAAGAUGGAACCAACACCGGCUUCGUGAGGGUCUUUGCCUACCCUCUCUGCAGGGCAGAUUGUGGGCAGGGGCCAGGAGCCCACAGGUCUGAGUCCCUGGCUCUCUCUGGCCUCCCCUGCUCUUCAAGUGGUGCUGGGGGCUGCUGAGCGGAGGGGAGCAGGGACACCCAAGGUGACAGAAAGCUGGCAUCCCCUGCCACCCGCCCCCGGCCUUUCGUCACCCCGGCCCCCUGGCACGUCAGGGUCUGCCUGCCCCUGGCACCCCAGCCGCGCUGGGUUCAUGCGGCUUGAAUUUCAGCGGGUGGGUGAAGAGGCGGGGGCUGGACACGCUUCAUUUUCCAAUUUCUGUAAAUAAGAGCUGUGGGGCCAUCUUUUGUCGACUGGAAAAAAAGCCCAUUGCACAACGGUGUGAGAAAAAACAACAGCGUGUAGGUGCCGGGAGAGGAUUCCAGGGAGCCGCAGGACAAAGGGCCUUUCUCUCUUUCUGGAAAGGUUUUGGGGAGCAUGUGACGGGGAGGAUCAGGAAAACCAGGGAAGGGAUUCUGUGAGAAAGAAAAUAGCUGCAGGGAAAGAGAGGUUAAAAAGGAUCUUUUUUUUCCGUGUGAUUUGGGGGGAUGUUUUCAAGUCUGAGACACCUGUCACUCCACCAGCAAAAAAAAAAAAAAAAAAAAUAGAGCCAGGAAUGUUGGUGACGAGGUCUCCAGGCUUGGCCCCGUGGGGAGCAUCUGGAGACGCCGUGUGCAGAGGGCGUCCUGAAUGUGCCCCCGCCAGCUCUGUCCCAUCAUAGUUCUCUGGAGAGUGGCAAUUUCCCCUAUCCAGGCUCUCAGAAUGUUCCGGAAGCCCUCAUUUACAGUUGAAACCCACCUGCAACCACUCAGCUCCCAGGCAGCUGCAGCCCUGUCCUGCAGGGUGAGAGUGCUGGGGACUUGAUCUUGGAGCCAGAUGUGGAAAUUUCAGGCCGCAAAUUGCCCAUCCUCAGCUCCAGUUCCUCCCAAGCCUCCAGUGACCUCAGAUGCACAAUCAUGGAUCCCGAGGCAUCUCUGCCUGUGCCCCUAUGGUUUAUGCCCCAGGACCUUUGCAUGUACUCCCUAGAGCCCUUGUGCCCCCACUGCCCAGAUGGCUCCCUCAAUGUCCCCCUCUGGCAUCAUUUUAAUUCAGAGGGUGUCCCCCCAGCAUGCCUCUGCCCACCCUGGCUUUAGCUGGCUCCCCAGCAGUCAGUACUGCCUAGCACCGGCACGGGCCGGGUGCGGCUCAGCGGCAGGCGCUUGCCUAGCAUGUGUGAAGGUCUGGGCUCCAACCCCAACUGUGCAAACAAAACAAACACAAGAACAAAGGGACAGACGGCACCUGGAAUUAUUUGCCCAACUCAUAAACCAGGCGUAUGGGCCUAUUGUCCCCGGCCUGUCUCCCCCACCAGGAUGUCCACCUGAGGGCUGUGUUCCUGCAGCGCAGGCCGACGACCCGGAGGCCACACUCGGUGAGGAGGAGCCAGCAGCCGAUCCGCCUGCGCGCUGCCUGCCCGGGUCAGGCUCAGGGGGCGCAGGCCUGGGCUCCAGGGGUCCCGGCACCCAGUGGGUGCCACAUAAAGGGCAGUGUGGGGCCGCGGGGAUG